UCCUUAGUCCUUGUCUUAAUAUCGAAACAUCCCUCAUUAGGCUUUAUGAUGACAUGAGAGCAGUAAUACUCACAUCACAAAGCUGGUCUUGAAACGAUUUACCUACUUCUACUUGGUGUCAUGUUUACACAUAUCCAAAAUACUUUAUUUAAACAAUCAAUUUUUUUGUUAAAAAUGGUUGGGGUUUUUUAGCUUAUAUAGUAAUAAUGUUGGAUACUUAUUGACAAUAAUUAAGCCAUAGCAUGUAACAUGAUCACCUAUUAAGUUUGUGCUAAAGAAUAAUUCAAAUAUGGAUGAAAUCAUUGGUCUCUUCUUCUCCCCUUCUUUAGAUUGAUCUUCCAUGUUUCUAGUACUAAAAUUAAGAUAGUAUGGUGUUGGCUUGAUCAGGAUAUGGUCUCUGAUGCUUUUCUUGAUGUUGAUGCCCUUCGGGACUCCAUGGACAUUGGCCAGGAAUUGCCUCACGAACCCCUCAACGCUUUGAUUGAUUAGAAAUAUUCUAGGGUUUAAGGAGAAGUCACAGAACUGACGAGCGUCCCCAUAGUAUAUUCAUUUCCUUUUUAUAAACAUGCUGUUAGGCAUCAGGGAUUAUUC
rnacentral:lncRNA from 1 species